rnacentral:lncRNA from 1 species
AUGAUGAUACAGACUGAUAACUCCAGAACCUUCCCUCCUCUCUGCCACCAGCAAGGCUCAAUGAAACAGAAGAAAGCAACCAGCAGGUCUGAUGAGGAGAGGACCUCAGGAACAGGAGAUGGACCCCAGACUAUAACCAAGAACUCCUAUAUCAACUCACAGAAUGGCCUGGGUUGCCAGAUGUUUUGUGAUGGUGCCUCCUGUUGGCUGAACCCAGAAGGUGCAAGAGCCUUGAAGAUGAAAUUCAUCAUUGGUCUCCUGAGAGUAGAUUUUGAGGAACAAAUGGAAGAUAUCUGGCCCAUGUGUGUUUGCAGAUGAUAUCAUGGAACUAAUGUUCUGAAGAACACACUUUGAAAAAUACUUGUCAAGUCUAAUCCUCCUUUUUGACAACAAAAUUUGAGGUGAGCAGAAGACAAAGAAGUUUCUUUAAGGUUCCAGGUUGUCGAAGCAGUAGGACCAAUUUGCAGGUCUGGAACUCAGAAAUUUGUGGUUCACUGCUAUUUGCACCACCUCACAUUCCGUGAGUAGCUUCCCUUCACAAUAACAUAGCACUAAUUUAUGCUCUGUGACUAUCUAAACUUUUUUGGAUGCUGUUUUUAUUUGUGCUUUAUGCUGUCUCUUGAGAUAACAAUUACAUACUAUUACUAUUUUCUGUGUAAAAAAACCAUUUUAUUUCCUUUCCCUUAAAAUGAUCUCAUUUGAGGUUUAAGAAAAGAUAUUUGAAGUUCUUAUAUUAGAUUUGGUGAACAAGCCUAUUUUCUUUGGUCUUCACUUCUUCAUAGUCUCUGUCUUUUCAACACGAAAGCACAUGUAACAAAGGUUUAGGAGACUCUGAUCUAGUCUGAGUUCUGCAAAUGAAAAGCAGAUUGAUCAUAAGAAAGUUGCAUUUUUGGCUUUCAAUUACUUGAUCUGAAAAAUUACAGAGGCAGGACCUGAAAAUAGCAGAGAAUAUGCUCAGAUGCUUUCUAAGAAUAUGUGGUUUAGGCUUAUUUCUUAGAUUACAUAUAAUAUUCUCAAUGUAGUUGUUCCUUUUCUUUACAAAACAGCAGCAUAGUGG